rnacentral:rRNA from 1 species
UACGUAGGGGGCAAGCGUUGUCCGGAAUUAUUGGGCGUAAAGCGCGCGCAGGCGGUUAAUUAAGUUGGGUGUUUAAGCCCGGGGCUCAACCCCGGUUCGCAUCCAAAACUGGUUGACUUGAGUGUAGGAGAGGAAAGUGGAAUUCCACGUGUAGCGGUGAAAUGCGUAGAGAUGUGGAGGAACACCAGUGGCGAAGGCGACUUUCUGGCCUAUAACUGACGCUGAGGAGCGAAAGCAUGGGGAGCGAACAGG